rnacentral:lncRNA from 13 species
AUGCGUUGUUACCAUAAUGACAGGUCAGAGCAGCUGGGAUCAAAUCCUAUUUUCCUACAGCAGCAUCAGUGUGAAAGUACAAGUAUGAGUCAGGCAAGGACAAUGAGUUUGGAAGAGCAAAUCAGGAGCCUCUCACCAGUUGCAGCACAUGCUCUGGCAAUUGCUGAAAUUACAGAUGACAUUGACAUUCAAGAGUUAACAAGAGCAGAUCUGAACGAACUUCUGCCAGGCCUUCAACAUUUAAAACUUAGAAAGAAGAUCAGUGAACUUAUAAAUACAUCUAAACAGGACACAGCUAAACCUAUUGCUUUAGUUCUUAACAAGCUAAGGGAAUUCCUUCCGGUUGAUGUCAUGGAGAAUGCACUUGUUCCCGGGGGAGUGUUACAUGGCUACUUCCCUAUUCUUAGAGAUUUGGAGAAGCAGCUGGCCGAAGCCCUCUACUUCAUUCAGGCACACGUUGGUUUGCUCGAGAGCUACAUUGGAGAAGAGUCCAUGGAGGCUCAGAGCAGUGCUUCAUCUCCAUCAGUUGACUCUGCUACAGCAGGAAACCAACCAUCAAAUGUUGAGGUCCAGAAAACAUCUGUUAAUCGCACCUCAGGAUCAUCAGCCUUAUGUGCCGCUGACAGCCAGCCCAAACAAUGCAGAACAGAAGUGUCUGGUGCGCCGAACAGACCCGCCUUCAAAGAAACUCAAGAUGAGACCUCAAUGUCACACUCUCAUACUUCAGGAGCAGCUGGUGCUGACACCCAUUUUCAAAAAAGUACAACGGGUCCUUCUCAAAUUUCCACUGGAAGUGAGCUGGCCGAGCCACGAUACAAACAAGAGAAAUCAAGGUCUGCAGACCAUCUAGGAGCAGGAGUUAAAGUCCAUUCACAAGUCUGUGGAAAAACCCUGAACACUCACCUUGCACUCAUGAAACAAGUGGAUUAUCUGGCAGUAGGACUAAAGCGAGAGGAGACCAGACCAGAAGACUGCCAAGUCAUAAUAGCCUUCUGUCCUAUUACAUCUCGUGUGGGAACAGACAUUGAUGCCGCCAUGAGCAAAGUUCAAAGUAACAAAGAUGUCAUUCUAGUGGUGAUGCACCAUACUUUUGAUCACUGCUUUGUCACAAGCCAGAGAUCUGCAUCUCACUACAUAAACGUAGUGGAGGAAGUUAAUGUUCUCUUCCAUGACUCUAUGGGACUUCUGCGUUGUGAAACAAAUGAUAAAGCAGUGACUCUCAUACACAAGGCCUUACAGAAAUACAGCAGCACUACUUACAAACGUUAA